GAUUUUAGUGUUGCAGCUCUUGUAGGUGAUACUCAAUGAAACAGCUCUCUUAGAGAAUCUUCAGUAAAAUAGCUGCUGUGCAUACACUGUAUACAAGGGCUACAUAUGAACCUUGGAGAGUGGAGAUUUCUGGGUGAAUAUAAAAGGCGAUGGCUGAAGCUUAAGUCCUGUGAAUGCCUCAUUUGUCUGGAGAUGCGUUCCGAGAAUCUCAGGUUCAUCCUUGUCGUAGCAUCCUUCCUUAAUGGAUGAGUGACCUUCUGCUGUGUGGAUCACCUCAUUGUGCCUGUCCAUUCAUCUGCUGAUAGACACUGGGUUAUUCUCACCUUUGACUUGAAUCUUGCUGCUGUGAACACUGAUGUACAAGCAGAUAUCCCAGUCCCUGCUUUCAGCUUGAGUAAACUCCUCCAGAUUUGAAUUUGCCCUUUGAAUCCUUGGUGGCAUAUGGUGGAAUUGUGGCUAGCAGACAGGAGCCUAGCAUAACUGUCUCCUGAGAGGCUCCGUCCAGUGGAUGGAAACAGAUGUAGAGACCCACAGCUGAAUCGCAGGCAGAGCUCGGGGAGUCUUGUGGAAGAGUGGGAGGAAGGACAGCACAAGAAGACCUGCAGAGUCAACUAACCUGGGCCCAUGGGGGCUUACAGAGACUGAGCCAAACAAAGAGCAUGCAUGGACUGGACAUAGGUCCCCUACACAUAUGCAGGAGAUAUGCAGCUUGGUCUUCAUGUGGGUCUUUUGUAACAACUGGAGUGGGGCCAGUCUCUGACUCUGUUGUCUGCCUUUCCAUCCCUUUCCCCUAGCUAGGCUGCCUUUCCUGGCCUCAGUGGGAGAGGAUGUGUUUAGUCCUGAUUCGACCUGAAGUGCAAAGAGGGGUUGGUAACCAAGGGGACGGGCCUUCCUUUCUCUGGGGAGGAGGGGAAGAGGCAAUGGGGAAAGGGGCAUGGGAGGAUAGGGGGGAGGGAAGCUUCAAUCAGGAUGUAAAGUGAAUAAAUAAAUUAAAAGAGAGUAA
rnacentral:lncRNA from 1 species